UGGAGGAAAGCAGGGGAUCGCAAGACCUUGCGCUUUUGGAGUGGCCGAUGCCUGAUUAGCUAGUUGGUGGGGUAAGAGCCUACCAAGGCGACGAUCAGUAGUUGGUCUGAGAGGACGACCAGCCACACUGGGACUGAGACACGGCCCAGACUCCUACGGGAGGCAGCAGUGGGGAAUUUUGGACAAUGGGCGCAAGCCUGAUCCAGCCAUGCCGCGUGGGUGAAGAAGGCCUUCGGGUUGUAAAGCCCUUUCAGCCGGGAAGAAAAGGCUGCGAUUAAUAAUCGCAGUUCAUGACGGUACCGGAAGAAGAAGCACCGGCUAACUACGUGCCAGCAGCCGCGGUAAUACGUAGGGUGCGAGCGUUAAUCGGAAUUACUGGGCGUAAAGGGCGCGCAGGCGGUUUUGUAAGUCAGAUGUGA
rnacentral:rRNA from 1 species